rfam:Vibrio sp. N418 VIBRN418_50, whole genome shotgun sequence.
CAUUGAACGGACGCAAUAGUAACUAGGAUGGUUGCUACUAAGGAUGGGAAAUGGACACCUCUGGACGAGGCAAGGACUGAACAUCAGGAAGAUGUCAUGGACACCGCUCAGGGAUCAAGUGAUGAGAGCUAAUCAGGAAGAUUAGUAGACCAGGAUAAGGUCAAGGACACCGCUAGGAUGGCGACGAAAGGAAUACGCUGAAGGACUACAGCACACUAUCAUGGAUUUGAUGCAUGGAGCACUUUUAGUAGCCGGAUUGCUGCGAGUAAGACCAUAACCCCGAAGGGCCUAGCCCCUCGGGGUUUUUCUUUUUUUA